rnacentral:rRNA from 1 species
GACGAACGCUGGCGGCGUGCCUAACACAUGCAAGUCGAACGAGAAUCUUUGGAAUGAUUCUUUCGGGAUGAAUUCCAAAGAGGAAAGUGGCGGACGGGCGAGUAACGCGUGAGUAACCUGCCCAUAAGAGGGGGAUAAUCCAUGGAAACGUGGACUAAUACCGCAUAUUGUAGUUAAGUUGCAUGACUUGAUUAUGAAAGAUUUAUCGCUUAUGGAUGGACUCGCGUCAGAUUAGAUAGUUGGUGAGGUAACGGCUCACCAAGUCAACGAUCUGUAGCCGAACUGAGAGGUCGAUCGGCCGCAUUGGGACUGAGACACGGCCCAGACUCCUACGGGAGGCAGCAGUGGGGAAUAUUGCGCAAUGGGGGCAACCCUGACGCAGCAACGCCGCGUGCAGGAAGAAGGUCUUCGGAUUGUAAACUGUUGUCGCAAGGGAAGAAGACAGUGACGGUAC